rnacentral:rRNA from 1 species
AACCCAAAAACUUUGAUUUCUCGUAAGGUGCCGAGCGGGUCAUCAUAGAAACACCGCCCGAUCCCUAGUCGGCAUAGUUUAUGGUUAAGACUACGACGGUAUCUGAUCGUCUUCGAUCCCCUAACUUUCGUUCCCUGAUUAAUGAAAACAUCCUUGGCGAAUGCUUUCGCAGUAGUUAGUCUUCAGCAAAUCCAAGAAUUUCACCUCUGACAGCUGAAUACUGACGCCCCCGACUAUCCCUAUUAAUCAUUACGGCGGUCCUAGAAACCAACAAAAUAGAACCGCACGUCCUAUUCUAUUAUUCCAUGCUAAUGUAUUCGAGCAAAGGCCUGCUUUGAACACUCUAAUUUUUUCACAGUAAAAGUCCUGGUUCCCCCCACAGCCAGUGAAGGCCAUGGGAUUCCCCAGAAGGAAAGGUCCAGCCGGACCAGUACUCGCGGUGAGGCGGACCGGCCAGCCAGACCCAAGGUUCAACUACGAGCUUUUUAACUGCAACAACUUUAAUAUACGCUAUUGGAGCUGGAAUUACCGCGGCUGCUGGCACCAGACUUGCCCUCCAAUUGUUCCUCGUUAAGGGAUUUAGAUUGUACUCAUUCCAAUUACGAGACCCGAAAGAGCCCCGUAUCAGUAUUUAUUGUCACUACCUCCCCGUGUCGGGAUUGGGUAAUUUGCGCGCCUGCUGCCUU